UAGCAAUCAGGGAGGAUGAUGCAGCCAGAACCAGAGGAGAAAACCUGCCUGAGUUGUAUAUUAUUUGCGAAAUGUAUAACUGGAAUAUACAAACACCAAUAAUGGAUAACUGAAGACAAAGAAACCCAGAUAAAGAUUAGUGGUCGAUAUAGGAUAACCAGAAGAAGGCAAAAAGGACAAACAAACAAAUGGAAGAAGACCUACGAUCGAAUGGAAAAUUAUCGUGCAAUUUCAUCGAGAGUUGCAUCGCUCGUAAAUUACAACAACGACGAUUAAUUAAUUAAUUAAUUAAUUAAUUAAUUUAAUUAAAUUUAUUGAUUAAUAACUAUAUAACUAGUGAGGGUAAAAAAAA
rnacentral:lncRNA from 1 species